AAUAAGUGCAGCCAUGAGUUUCCAUGUCCGACUUUGAUCGUCCGUCUUAUUUGAAAAUUUUUAUUAUUAAUAUUUUAUUGUUAUUAAAUUAUAAAACAUGAAUAGUACUUUAUGUGUGACUUAUUUUUUUAGUUUUUCAAAAAAAAAAAAAUAAGACGAACGAUUAAAGUUGGACACAGAAACUUAUGAAUGCACUUAUU
rfam:Oryza glaberrima chromosome 2 Oglab02_0184_3, whole genome shotgun sequence.